CGUGGUCAAGAUAACGUGCUGCAGUAUCAGAGUAUUUCGAUCAAAGGAGAAUGGACAGACUGCUUCUAGGAAGGUAACAGUAAGUCUCUGAAUGCAAACCUUGAAGCAGAUGAGCUACAGCAGACCACACCGAGUGUCACUCCUGUCAGCUAAAAACAGGAAACUGAGGCUACAGCUCGCAUGGGCUCGCCAAAACUGGACAACGGAAGAUUGGAGGAACAUUUCGCAGUCUGAUGAGUCUUUCUGCUGCCGCAUCACCAUGAGUUUUUGCUGACAGGUGUGAGAGGAGACGGCCCAGAGUCAAAAACAUUAGAUAUUAAGUACGUUUUGAUCGGAGGUGGGAUCGGCCUGUUGUUAGUUGCUGUAUUCAUUAUAACAAAGAUCUGCAUUAUUAGGAAGCAAGUGAGUCAAAACAAUGCAGAUGUCAACAUGAGAAGAUUUUCAGAGCCUCAGUUGCACUCUUUGAGCCAUCUCAGCCAAUCAGAACGCUCCGAUGCAGCGGUGUCCAGAGGCGUGUGAUGACAGAGGUCUGGCACAGUGACGAGCCUGAUGCUGUAACCCUGCAAAAAGUGAAACAUCAACCUGGUGGCCUUUUUUUGUUCUUUUGUUUUUUUUGUUUUUCAGUGUUGGAAUUGUUGCAGAAUUUCAACAUUGAGUUUUACCUCUUUUACUUUCUCUGUAACAUUUGUUAUAAUUGUGUUCAUAAAAAAAUAUCUAAAGAAGACUUGCUUUGUGC
ensembl:lncRNA